rnacentral:lncRNA from 1 species
AUGAUUUCAUCACCAAUACAACCUCCUCUGGAGCCACAUACUUUCCGCGAGCUUCAUAACUGCUCAUCACUAUCACCGUUAAACCUAUUGCUGUUCAACAUCCCUCAAUCUCAGCAAUACACCCUCCGUCAAUUCCUUCAUCUCCCAACUUUCAUCGUUUCACUACCCCCCCCCCC